rnacentral:siRNA from 1 species
CGAUGCGUCCACGAUAAUUGAG